AUAAGUAUAAUUAAACUAUAAUACUAGGCUGUGACUCUAGAAUUGAAAGUUAAAACCUUUUUACUUAUC
rnacentral:tRNA from 1 species